CCCUAUGGGGUGCAGCAGGCGAUGGCUGUCCUGGACCCGGAGCCUCUCAAGCGUUUCAUGCCCGCACAGGCACGCAUCGUCAUACCCGACAUUGUCAUUGAGCGCGACCCGUUGAACGGGCGCCUCACAUGCGCAGUGCCACAGCCCGCGUGGACUAUGACAGUCGACCCGGAGGUUCUGGCGUCUGCCCGUGAAGACCCUCAGGCGAGACCGUCUGUCAUGACCGACGUGACAAGGGCACGCUGGGUGGAUGAGUGCAUCGUCCAGCGCACCCAAACUCUCACCAGAAUUGGCGAGACUCUGAUCCAACAGUUGACGCCGUUCCUAUCGGGGGAGC
rnacentral:rRNA from 1 species